GACAGAGGAUGCAAGCGUUAUCCGGAAUGAUUGGGCGUAAAGCGUCUGUAGGUGGUUUACCAAGUCUGUUGUUAAAAAUCAGGGCUUAACCCUGAUCCGGCAACAGAGACUAGUAGGCUGGAGUACGGUAGGGGCAGAGGGAAUUCUCGGUGUAGUGGUGAAAUACGUAGAUAUCGAGAAGAACACCAAUAGCGAAAGCACUCUGCUGGGCCGAAACUGACAUUGAGAGACGAAAGCUAGGGGAGCGAAAGGG
rnacentral:rRNA from 1 species